AGAGUUUGAUCAUGGCUCAGAACGAACGCUGGCGGCAGGCCUAACACAUGCAAGUCGAACGAAGUCUUCGGACUGAGUGGCGGACGGGUGAGUAACACGUGGGAACCUAUCCUUUGGUGCGGAAUAACAGAGGGAAACUUCUGCUAAUACCGCAUACGCCCUAAGGGGGAAAGAUUUAUCGCCAAAGGAGGGGCCCGCGUAGGAUUAGCUAGUUGGUGGGGUAAUGGCCUACCAAGGCUGCGAUCCUUAGCUGGUCUGAGAGGAUGAUCAGCCACACUGGGACUGAGACACGGCCUAGACUCCUACGGGAGGCAGCAGUGGGGAAUAUUGGACAAUGGGGGCAACCCUGAUCCAGCCAUGCCGCGUGAAUGAAGAAGGCCCUAGGGUUGUAAAGUUCUUUCACUCGUGAGGAUGAUGACAGUAGCGAGAGAAGAAGCCCCGGCUAACUCCGUGCCAGCAGCCGCGGUAAUACGGAGGGGGCAAGCGUUGUUCGGAUUUACUGGGCGUAAAGGGCGCGUAGGCGGCAUGCCAAGUUGGGGGUGAAAGGCCUGGGCUUAACCUAGGAACUGCCUUCAAAACUGGCAAGCUUGAGACCGGGAGAGGUUAGCGGAAUUCCCAGUGUAGAGGUGAAAUUCGUAGAUAUUGGGAAGAACACCAGUGGCGUAGGCGGCUAACUGGACCGGAUCUGGCGCUGA
rnacentral:rRNA from 1 species